AUCCAGCUGAUGAGUCUCAAAUAGGACGAAACGCGCGUCAAACUAGAU
rnacentral:hammerhead_ribozyme from 1 species